rnacentral:lncRNA from 1 species
ACACUGCCCUCUAAGUCAAGCAGAGCAGGUGGAGAGGGUUUGUAGCGAAUGACAUCUGCUGUAGAAUCUCUUUUUUCAUUGUUUCAUUUCGUUUUUUGCUCUUCUGGGAAUACUGUGAUCAUGCUUCCUAAUGAGAAAAUGGAUACAAUAGCCAAGUGGAUAAACAUGGCAUGUGGCUUGAGUAUCGAAUCGUAGUUCUUUUUCUACUUUCAUAUCGACUGCACCACGUUGGAACAGUUCCAAGAAUGGAGUUGUGUGAGAAUUCUGAGUGCUUGUGAGAAAACUCCAACAAGACAAGAGUCUUGUGACCUCGGUGUUUUUUUUUGUUUUUUGUUUUUUGUUUUUUUUUUUAAACACAGACUUGUGCUGGUAUUGUUAUGCUCUGCCCAGGUGCAGCAGAUAGGAUUGAUUUUACUUCAGCUGUUCUUAUUCAUGUGUCUUUAUGCUUCUGCAACAUGGGACUUGGCCCUGUGAUAGAACACAUUACUUACAUGAUUCUUCUUAACCCUGGACUAUAAAUUGCCUGAUGCUCUGAGUAAAGUUGGCUAUUACAUGGGACUUUAGUCCGUCUCAUUUUUAGGUCCCACUCUUUCAGGUUCACGCCGCCAACUAGAGAGUGAUAUACAGCAUCAAAACACCAAGGUUACUUUAAACUUCCUUUUAGGUCCUCCUUUCAGUUGAAAAUUAUGAUGGCUUCAAGUCCCCUCUUUCCACCAGGUACUAAUAUUGGCAUUUCCUUUGUUACAUCAUCUCAAUGCAUUUCCAGGUCUUACUGCUCCUCAAAGUGAUUGCUUUAAUGGUCACAUGUAAGAUUCUGGAAUCGGUUCCAUGCUCACCGUAGGGAUUUUGAAGAAUUGCUUUAGUGUUUCUGUUGUUGUGAUGCAACACCCUGAUGCAAAGCAGCUUGAGGAGGGAAAGGGUUUAUCUCAUCUCACAACUUGUAGUGCAUCGUACAGGAAGACAGGGUAGACACCCGGAAGCAGGAACCAUGGAGGGAUCCUGCGUACUGGCUUGCUGCUGAUGGCUUUCUCAGCCUCCUCCUUUUAAACCACCCAGGACCACCCUCCUAAGGGUAGCACCGCCCACGGUGAGCUGGGUCACAUCAGUCAUCAAUGAGGAAAAUUCACCACAGGCCAGUCUGAUGGAAGUACUUUCUCAAUCGAUGUUCCUUCCUUCCUAAUGGCUCUCCAGCCUGUGUCAAGUUGACAUAAAACUAGCCAGCACAGGAAGAAAAUCAAAGCUCGGGCCUGAAAAGAUGGCUCCGUCUGGAAAGUGCCAGCUUUACUGGGUUCCAACCUCGAUCUCCAGAAAUCCAUG